rnacentral:tRNA from 1 species
GCAGGGGUCCGAUAGCCCGGUCAAUUCGGCUACCUUGAGGGGGUAGUGGCUUAGUGCCUUCGAGGGUUCAAAUCCCUUCCCCUGCA